rnacentral:lncRNA from 1 species
UUAUCUCAGUGCAUAGUCUUUAUUGGUUCAAUCCCAUAUGAAACAUUUGUUAGAUUUCCAGAUUCGUCCCUAGGAAACCCAAGGAAACUUUAUACCAUUCUUUUAGAAACAUAUGGGUACAGAUAUAUAUAGGUCUUUCAUACUUGUGUGUAUAUAUAUAUAUAUAUGUACAUAGAGUUAGAGUGACAGUAAGCGAAUUCAGUUUAUUAACCACGAACUUCAAAUAAUACCAAAACUUAGAAUAAAGAGGAAAAGAAAGAAUAAAUUCCUGCCUGCCUUCUCCAGCUUCUUCCUGCCCUUCUGUAUGUGCUCUAAUCUCAGGACACCCUGGACCACUCCCGGAUCCCAAACACGACCCAUUGGAACACUCACGCUUCCUGCUGGCCACCUGCAUUUGCUGCUUCCCCAAGCCCUCCCCUGAUAAUCUGGGCUCUCCUUCCUCUGAGCCCCAUCACUGUCUGGUACUCUCUUCAUGGGAUUUAUCUUGAUCCGUCUUAUUUUAUAAUUACUUCCCCUGCCCGUGGAUGAGAGGAUUAUAAACUCGCUGCAAAGAGAAAAACCGUUCAGCACAUUCUCUGUGUCCCUCUAAGGAUGAGCAGGAUAUCUCAGGUAGUACAGCCUCAAUAAGCAUUUUCUUAAGUACAAGAAAUUGGGCUUUUCUUUCUCAGUUGAUCAUUAAGUUCAGUUGACUGUCUUUAUCAGUUGCUUAUUUGACAGUCACGUUGCUCAUUCUGUAAUAAUAGAGCAUUGAUUUUACUUAGUACUCAGUAAUAAGUCACAAAAGUCUAUAACUUGCUCAUCAGCUUCUCUCUGUUGUAGACCAAAAAGAAGUACCAAGAACUGGCCGAGAGCCCUAGAAAGCUCUGAGGAGCGACUGUAGUGAUGCUGGCAGCACAUUCCAGCAGAGGGCCGAGGGAAGGGCGGGGACCUGCUGCGGGACUCCAGAAGGCAUUUCCGAGCUGAGUUAGGGGCAGUUGACCCAGGGAAAUGUCCCAUUUCAAGGCAGAAGGUUUCCAGAGUUAGAGAAUUAAGCAAAGCUUCACAACCUCUUGGAUCUCAAAGCCCUGAUAAGGUCUGCACUUGUUCAGAGUUCAGACCGCUGCAGGGGAGGCAGCCAGAGGGUCAGAGGCUCCGUUUCCUUUGAUGGAACCUCCUGAAGCGACCUUCCUCCCACCUCAAAACCGGCCUCCUGUGAAACCACCUUCCUUUUGAACACGUUUCUUCCCGGGAAGUUCCCGAGGGGCAGCUCCCCACCGUUCUCUGAGAGCGGGGACAGUCUUUGGAGCAGCCUUAUCUUUUCCCCUGUGGACUGUCCCCUCCUUACUUAAUUCUGGUCAGCAGACUCUUUCUAGUUAAAGGCUGACCCACUCUGGUUUUAAGAGAGAUUAUACUCAUUUCAGGCCCAGAUAACAUAUAUUAGCACAAAUUUUAUUCCGAAUUUUAAGAAGGACAUGUUUAAAAAGGGAAUUCCACGACCCUUUUACUCCAAGCAUUGGUCUUACAAGAAGCCCAUCUCUGGCCACUGGGGGUCUCUGGGUCUCACUGCUCCAGGAGCUCCUCCCCACUAGAAGGGUGGAGGGUUCCCUCUAGAAACUGCAAUGCCAACCAUGUCAGCAACUUCAGUGACUGUCAGAAGAACGUCCCACUGUAGGAGGACAGAGGGAAAUAUGGAGAUGACGGACAAGGACUGUCUGCUCUUGUGCUCGCUUUCCAUGGAUCACCUGCACUGACAACUGUGCGCCACUGACAGUGCCAGCCGAGUGGCGGGGCUGCCACGCUGAGCCCUCAGGGGACUGGAGGAGACACUGGCUGACCAACUGCUGACAAAGCAUCUUGUUGAGUAGACUGUUCCCGUGGGACUCUUUAUGGCACCUUUGGCUUUCUGAUUUUUUCCAUAAAUCUGCCUUGAUCCUGAAAUCUCUGGAGCACUUAUAAAUGACAGACUUUGCUGAAAAAAGCAAGGCUUUAAACUGAUACUGCUUGUUGCCUGCCCAGGGUCUGUUCUUUCUCCUUUUGUAACAGAAGUCUUGCGCAAUGGGGCAGAUUUUAUAUAUAUGUAUAAAUAAAUAAAAUCAACUGCAUUCCAAGCCUCUUGUGCAGGUUGGGUGUUACCAAAUACGAGGGCAACCUCGGUGAGGCCUCUUGGAAGGCCCCUUUCCCCUGUCCAGUUGCAGCUGAAAUGAGGACACAGUGGCUGAAGAUCCCAUCGUGGUCCUGCGAGCUCAGUGCCAGGAGCCACCCACCGAGGGGCAUGGGGCAGGAACAGGAGGGGCCUGUGCACUGAUGACCUGUUGGGGCCACCAUACCAGCCCUGGACUCCUCCCUCCUUUGGGUACUUAAGAAGAUUAGGGAUUUAUUCUCUCAAGUCCUUGACAUCGGCAACCCCCGUCAGGGGCAGGAGGCAACCGUGACCAGCGCCAAACGAACAACGUCACUGCCAGACACCAAGGAAAAUCAGACAGAAGAAAGAUGCACCUCGCCUUUCCCCAGUCCAGAUACACAUCUUCUGGCUUAUUUUUUUCCCUCAUUGCCAUGGAAAUAACCUUAGCCAGAACCUUUGAGCGAGGGGUCAGGGGGAUCUUUUGGCCUUGCCCCCAAACGGGAGUGAACCUCACAUCUUAUCAGCUAGUCAGUGACCAACGUGUGGACGGGAACACAUUACAGGCAUGUAAGUAGAUGACACUUACUACACGUAUAAUAUGAGUGGAGCUUAAUCAUGAAUGCUGACUUUAACAAGAAUCCAUGAAUUCACCUCCCUCCCCACCCGCAACGAGUUAGUUUAAACGAGACAUCCUGGUAAUGUUCCUGCUCCUUUUAGUCUAAUUACAAAAGUAAUACAAAAACUCAUUUAACCAGAAAAAUCUGCAGAUACAUAAUAAAUACAGAAAUAGAGGGAGAUAAAAAGAACCAGUAAUUCUACCCAGAGAGAAUUCCUUUUAAUGCCACUGAGAUACCUCCCGGACCCUUUUAGACAGACAUCUGUUGUUAGAUGGCAUCAUGCUACAGGUGCAAUCGUGCACCUGUCAUUGUAUAAUUGCACCGGUUUAUAGUGCACGGCAAACAUCUUUCCAUUUCAGUGUAGCAAGGGCAGCCUCUGCUCUAUGCAGCUCCACCCAGGUCCUGGACCUCUGACUGUCCCUCCAUAGCACCACUUCCCUCUCUGUUUCUAGAAGGGCUUUCGAGGUGGUAGUGCCCUCCAGAGGAUGCCUUGAGGCCAGAACAGCCAAAGCUACUUCUCUGCACGGGUAUCAACAGGCAUGGCUUGGGACCGUGGCAGGCUGGCUGGCUGGCUGCCCCUGGGCAUGCAGACCAUUCUGACUCACACCAACGAUCUCCUUAGGUUCCCCCACCCCAGCCCCUCAACUUUCCCAGGAUCGCGUCUCUCCCCUCCUCCCCAGGCUUUCACCCCAUCCAGUGCGCUCCAGAGGUUUCUCGCUCUCGAGCUGCUCUCCAGCAUGUUAGAGGCGUGCGCUCCACUGGGCUUUCACUCUGGUUCCUUAGUAAACUCAACAUAAACUGCACGCUUCUCCCCUCCAUACACAGCAGCCCGAACCACCCACCUCUCCUUGAGGCCAUGCAUACACCCCCGACCUGAGCAAAGUGUGUAAGUACCCCACUACACCAACAAGUAGGAGAGGGCUGACUCAAAACUGCUGUUGAACAGUCUAGAAAGGGCCCCUGCUGUGCCUCUGGCUCUCCACUUGUAAUGUCUGUGACCUCGGAGACGUUCAGUUCAAAGGAUCGGAGGAGUUGAGCACUUUAGGUAAUUUUCAGUCAAGGACACAAACCACCUGCUUUCCCUCACGCUGCUGAGGGGCAGUGCUAACAUUAGGACUAGCCUGCAGAGUCUACAACAAGUAAAGCACCUCGGAAACGCAAAAGGCAUGAUGUUUUUGCCAUUCUCCUGGGUGAGUCUCACAGCCCUCGGAGGGGAGAAUUCUUCUCAAGGAUAAUAAUGGCUAACAUGCACCACGUGCGUAUUCCAGGCAGGCCCUUUUCACGUAGUAUCUCAUUUAAUCCUCACACACACCCAGGAUGUAGAGACUAUUAUCCCAUUUUACUGAUGAGGAAAUUGAGGUGGGGGAGGUUAACUAACUUGCCUGGGGUCACACGGCUAGUAGGUAGUAUACCCAGGAUUGAACCCCAAAACCUGACUCCUGAGCUCAUUCUCUCUCCAGGGUGCAGCCCCCAGAAGGGGCCUCAAAACAGCCUCUUAGUCAGUCGCCCACUUCUAAAGACCAAGUGAUUUGUCUUAAGAAGGCCACCCACUAUUUCAGAUUCAGACACACACACACACAAAGCACGCCAACAGAAAAGCUACAUUUGCAAAGAUUGGCAUCACUGGAUGCCGGUGAGAAUGUGGAGCACAGAGACCACUCACCACAGCUGUGGGAGCAUAAAUCAGUGGAAUCACUUGGGCAUCAUCUAGUCAAGUCGAAGGAACGUACCCCACGCCCCGGCAGUUCUAACCCAACAUAUCUACUCUGCUUAAAUGUGGGUACACGGAGGCAUCGAGGAGAACGCAGAUGUCUUCAUAGGAUCCCCUCACUGGUAACAAGCAAAUGUCCACAAUCAAGUGAAUUUGUAAAAACCGGUUGAUUAUUCACACAGUACGACGCUAUACGCUGAAUUAACGACAGCCGUGUGCAAUGUGACCGCGUCUCGCAAACAUCACGCUGGUCAAAACCAACAUAAAGAACGAAAGCCAGACGUAAAGAACACACACUGGAUGGAUGCACUUCUGAAAAAUUUCAACAACAGGGAAAAAUCAAACAACAGUGUCCAUGGAUGUAUAUUUAAGUAGUAAAAUUUUAAAGAAAAGCAAAGAAGUGAAUGAGCAUAAAAGGAGGCCCAGCGAUCACCUUUGAAAAGGGGAACCGCAGCCCAGAAGGGAUGCGCGCGAGGGUUCCGGGGGGCGCGCAGCUGGUGAUCUCCUGAACUGAGAAGGCGUUUACUUUAUACGAGAGAAAAAUUAAGCUGUACCUUAUGUUUCAUAUACUUUUCUAUAUGGUUGUUUCAGUUCACAAUAAAGAGAAUUAAAGUAAACGUCAAAAGCUAUCUGCAGAAAAAAUAAAAAUCUGGCCGAAAAUCCCUCCGUGCUAUGGGGCGGGCCUCCUUUCUGCUGUGCUUACUUACCUGGAGAAGACGGUCUUGGAAAUGACACAGCAGGUGUCUGAGGCUCUUCCCGGGGACACUGCGAUUUCCAAAGGCCUCGCUGCAGAGGGAUUGGCCGCGUGUCAUCAGACUUUGAGCUGUGGUGUGCGUGAAAUAACUUCAGCUACUUAUUUCCUUUUGGAACUGUGCCCAUCCCACCAGAGGGGUGCUCCUUUGUCCCCCAGCCUGCAACUGCGAGGGAGGUGGAAAUCUGUGCUUCUGAUACCUGGGUCCUGGGGCCCACGGCACAGCAGGAGGACAUCACGACAGUUGUGGGCAUGGGGGAGUCAGAGCGCGGUGGUCCUGCCUUGACAGUGGGCCUUGGGGGGCAGAGUGACUGGCUCAGGGGCACAGAACGAGAUAACAGGUUUGCACCUCGAACCCAGGCCAGACGCAUCGCCCCGUGCUCCUCGAGAGGGGGGAAAGCGUCUCUCCCGGUUCUGUUCUCUUGGAGCUUUUCCUCUAGUUUUCAUUCAUCAGUCAGGGAUUUCCAUCAGCUGGAACAGAAACCGACGGCACAGAGCGUGGCUUUCAUUUUCUCUCCUCUAACAGCGCAUCUCCAGAUUCACAUCAAUGUCUCAAAAGAACUUCAGAGAAGACCUGUUUGGGUCCAUUUCCAGAAACGAAAUGUCCAGCCUCUCUGUGCUUAGAUUUUACCCUCCUUUCAAGCUAAUAGGUUAGCCCGUUGCUGUUUCUUGCAUGCUGCCAGAAGACAAGGGAUGGGUCAGAGACUAGAGACUUUAUUAUGCAGAGCACAGCACCCAGCAUGAACACCAGCGUCUCUGGUGGGGCCUCCCGGAGUCUCAGGUGAGCAGCCAGAUGGCAUAACCCAGAGGGCGACCACACAGGCAAUGGGUGUGCACCACAGCUGAGGAUCUUGGAGCUGGGGGAAGCCACUGCUUUUAUAGCACGCAAGCCUGCUCUUUGUCCAGGGGGAGACAGUCCCUUGUCCCACAAGGUCACCAGCUGUGU